CUCGGCUAAAAAUAGGCUAUAAAGGAGUCGGCCUCAUGAUGGCUCCUUGAUUCAAUUUGCUGCAAAUUCUUUCCUCAAAGCCUCCCCCCACCCGGCGCGCGCACACACACACACACAUACACACACAUACACAUAUACACAUACACACAAAAAGGGGGUGUCGGUGCACGGAGGGGGAAGGGGCCAGCAGGCCCGGGUGCCCAUUUUCGGGGCCAACGACAACAUAAUUAGGGUCCGGCCUGGGGAGGAAGCCGCAAUCAUUCAUUGCCACUGACUCUACGAUGUGAUUCAGCGCUGGAUUAGAAAGGAAGCCUCUCUCACUGCCUCUGCCUUUGACGCCAUCCUCAUCAUCAGAAAAUCUGCCAACCCCAUUUUCCCACGUAGCAGAAACCAGUGUCUUGGCUUUCCAUGCCUGAAAUACCUGGCGCUGGUACAUGCCACCUUGAUGGGAUUGAAUUGGAAUCCCCUGGCAUGUUUCUAACUCUACCA